rnacentral:rRNA from 1 species
AGGACGAACGCUGGCGGCGUGCUUAACACAUGCAAGUCGAGCGGAAAGGCCCUUCGGGGUACUCGAGCGGCGAACGGGUGAGUAACACGUGAGAAACCUGCCCUGGACUUUGGGAUAACCCUCGGAAACGGGGGCUAAUACCGAAUACGACCUUCAACCGCAUGGUUUGUUGGUGGAAAGUUUUUCGGUCUGGGAUGGUCUCGCGGCCUAUCAGCUUGUUGGUGGGGUAAUGGCCUGCCAAGGCGACGACGGGUAG